rnacentral:rRNA from 1 species
UACGAGGGGGGCAAGCGUUGUCCGGAUUUACUGGGCGUAAAGGGAGCGUAGGCGGACUUUUAAGUGAGAUGUGAAAUACCCGGGCUCAACUUGGGUGCUGCAUUUCAAACUGGAAGUCUAGAGUGCAGGAGAGGAGAAUGGAAUUCCUAGUGUAGCGGUGAAAUGCGUAGAGAUUAGGAAGAACACCAGUGGCGAAGGCGAUUCUCUGGACUGUAACUGACGCUGAGGCUCGAAAGCGUGGGGAGCAAACAGG